rnacentral:rRNA from 1 species
GUGCCAGCAGCCGCGGUAAUACGUAGGGUGCAGGCGUUAAUCGGAAUUACUGGGCGUAAAGCGUACGCAGGCGGUUUGCUAAGACAGGUGUGAAAUCCCCGGGCUUAACCUGGGAACUGCGCUUGUUACUGGCAAGCUAGAGUGUGGCAGAGGGGGGUAGAAUUCCAGGUGUAGCAGUGAAAUGCGUAGAUAUCUGGAGGAAUACCGAUGGCGAAGGCAGCCCCCUGGGUUAACACUGACGCUCAUGUACGAAAGCGUGGGGAGCAAACAGGAUUAGAAACCCGAGUAGUCC